CCUACGGGUGGCAGCAGUGGGGAAUAUUGGACAAUGGGGGGAACCCUGAUCCAGCCAUGCCGCGUGUGUGAAGAAAGCCCUCGGGUUGUAAAGCACUUUCAGUGAGGAAGAACGCCUGGUGGUUAAUACCCAUCAGGAAAGACAUCACUCACAGAAGAAGCACCGGCUAACUCCGUGCCAGCAGCCGCGGUAAUACGGAGGGUGCGAGCGUUAAUCGGAAUUACUGGGCGUAAAGCGCGCGUAGGUGGCUUGAUAAGCCGGUUGUGAAAGCCCCGGGCUCAACCUGGGAACGGCAUCCGGAACUGUCAAGCUAGAGUGCAGGAGAGGAAGGUAGAAUUCCCGGUGUAGCGGUGAAAUGCGUAGAGAUCGGGAGGAAUACCAGUGGCGAAGGCGGCCUUCUGGACUGACACUGACACUGAGGUGCGAGAGCGUGGGUAGCAAACAGGAUUAGAUACCCUAGUAGUC
rnacentral:rRNA from 1 species